rnacentral:rRNA from 1 species
UACGUAGGGGGCAAGCGUUGUCCGGAUUUAUUGGGCGUAAAGAGCGUGUAGGCGGCUUUGCAAGUCCGUUGUGAAAACUCGAGGCUCAACCUCGAGACGCCGGUGGAAACUGCAAAGCUAGAGUCCGGAAGAGGAGAGUGGAAUUCCUGGUGUAGCGGUGAAAUGCGCAGAUAUCAGGAAGAACACCCGUGGCGAAGGCGGCUCUCUGGGACGGUACUGACGCUGAGACGCGAAAGCGUGGGGAGCGAACCGG